rnacentral:lncRNA from 1 species
UGGGGGGAUGCCCGACAUAUUCGCUGCCGACCAAGCGAAUACGUUGGCAUUGGCCUUCAGCAGCUCCGCCAACCGUCGUCGCUCGGGGUCGGGUAAUUGUGACCCGACCCAUACCUGGCGGUCGGAAUUCUUCGCCAUCGAGAUGGGAACGAGCUGUUCAACCGGUUCACCCCGCUCUUCUUCUUUUCGUUGGUCCAGCUUGUCGACCGUCAGGGGGCCCUUC